rnacentral:rRNA from 1 species
GACGAACGCUGGCGGCGUGCCUAAUACAUGCAAGUAGAACGCACAGUUUAUACCGUCUCUUGCUACACCAUAGACUGUGAGUUGCGAACGGGUGAGUAACGCGUAGGUAACCUGCCUGGUAGCGGGGGAUAACUAUUGGAAACGAUAGCUAAUACCGCAUAAUAUUAAUUAUUGCAUGAUAAUUAAUUGAAAGGUGCAAUUGCACCACUACCAGAUGGACCUGCGUUGUAUUAGCUAGUAGGUGAGGUAACGGCUCACCUAGGCGACGAUACAUAGCCGACCUGGGAGGGUGGUCGGGCAGACUGGGACGGAGACACGGCCCAGACUCCUACGGGAGGGAGCAGUAGGGAAUCUUCGGCAAUGGACGAAAGUCUGACCGAGGAACGCCGGGGGAGUGAAGAAGGGUGUCGGAUCGGAAAGCUCUGUUGUAAGAGAAGAACGGGUGUGAGAGUGGAAAGUUCACACUGUGACGGUAUCUGAACAGAAAGGGACGGCUAACUACGUG